CUUGUUCAGUGAUGAAGUCAUGGAAUAAGCGCUGGGCACAGCGCCCGAGCCUGAUGAGGAGAUAUUCCUUGCUGCCUUCCUUCUGAGAACAGC
rnacentral:snoRNA from 15 species